CCUACGGGAGGCAGCAGUGAGGAAUAUUGGUCAAUGGGAGAGAUCCUGAACCAGCCAAGCCGCGUGAGGGAAGACGGCCCUAUGGGUUGUAAACCUCUUUUGUCGGAGCACAAAACCCGGGACGUGUCCCGGACUGCGUGUAUCCGAAGAAAAAGCAUCGGCUAACUCCGUGCCAGCAGCCGCGGUAAUACGGAGGAUGCGAGCGUUAUCCGGAUUUAUUGGGUUAAAGGGGUGAGUAGGCGGUCCGUUAAGUCAGCGGUAAAAUUGCGGGGCUAAACCCCGUCGAGCCGUUGAAACUGGCAGACUUGAGUGGUCGAGAAGUACGCGGAAUGCGCGGUGUAGCGGUGAAAUGCAUAGAUA
rnacentral:rRNA from 1 species